CAGGCCUAACACAUGCAAGUCGAGCGGCAGCGGGAAAGUAGCUUGCUACUUUUGCCGGCGAGCGGCGGACGGGUGAGUAAUGCCUGGGGAUCUGCCCAGUCGAGGGGGAUAACAGUUGGAAACGGCUGCUAAUACCGCAUACGCCCUACGGGGGAAAGCAGGGGACCUUCGGGCCUUGCGCGAUUGGAUGAACCCAGGUGGGAUUAGCUAGUUGGUGGGGUAAUGGCUCACCAAGGCGACGAUCCCUAGCUGGUCUGAGAGGAUGAUCAGCCACACUGGAACUGAGACACGGUCCAGACUCCUACGGGAGGCAGCAGUGGGGAAUAUUGCACAAUGGGGGAAACCCUGAUGCAGCCAUGCCGCGUGUGUGAAGAAGGCCUUCGGGUUGUAAAGCACUUUCAGCGAGGAGGAAAGGUUGAUGCCUAAUACGCAUCAGCUGUGACGUUACUCGCAGAAGAAGC
rnacentral:rRNA from 1 species